rnacentral:lncRNA from 1 species
AGACGUGGUGAUAAGACGUGGGAAUUAUGGAGAGAGAUAAAUGGUGUUUUAAGUGUAGCAGCUACCCCAGUUUCUUCCCCCCCCAUUAGAUAGAGAAUCUUUUAAUUUUUGGUUUUGUCUACAUUACAAAAAUUUAACAUCCCAAGGUAUAACUAUAAUAUGAUGAUGCUGUGUUUAUUACUACUCUAUAGUUUGACAAAAUAAAAUAAAAAAAAUCUUUUAUACGUAAAGUACUAAAAAAAAAGUUAUACUAUAUGAAAGCGUUGGUCCUUUACUUCUCUUUUAAAGAAGUUCAAAGUCAGUUUUUUUUUUUUAAAGUGAUUUGAGUUUUAUACAAGUCUUAGAAUUGGAUCAUUCAUAUUUGGAUUUUUCUUUUUUGUCGACCAAAUCGGAUUAAUAAAUCUAUUUUAGUUAAUUGGAUCAUGUUAUAUUAUUAUUAGUUAAUAUAAUGAUGUGAUAAAAUAGGGAGGGAGAGAAUAAAAAAGGGAAUGGAUUGUGUAAUCUCUGUCGAUAGUGUUGUUUGGCAUCGAGGCACAGUAAUCCAAAUGAUUCGAUUGGGUCACAUUACUGCGCAAAUUCAAUUCAUGCGGGAUUUAGUGAACAUAACGACAAGUCGCGGUUUAAAGAGUGAAUCCAAUCAAAUAAGUAUACUACCAUAUGGAGACCACAAAACUCCAAAAGUAUGAGCAUUUUUCAUGUGAACUUUUCUAUGUCUGUCCUCCUCAACUUUAAAUUACCGACACAAGUGGUCACUGACUCUCCCUAGUCCUACUGUUGAAAACCAUCUCUUAUUGGGCCUUUGAAGAACAAUGAGCCAUUUAUAUCUUAUUGGGCCAGACCAAGCCCAGUUUCGAUAUUUUGAAUUGGUCUGUGAAAGCCAAUAAUAAUCAAUCAAGAACAAUCUUAUAUUUAUGUAUAUCAUACACUAGUUGUUUACGCUAGCUUCAAAAAUCCAUGGAUUUAUCUGAACAAUGCUGUGAAUUGAUCUGUAAUGCUGCUAAUAUGCUAUCGAUGAAGAUGAUUCUCAAUUCCUCGAAUCUAUUUCACUCACAUCAACCUAUUCUUCUCCAUCACCAACUGUGUUUAGAGUGACAGGAUUGUUCCUUUGUGCAAGAAAUUUUACUUCUCGCAUUUCAUGGAUUUUCUUUGCACACCAUUUCGUCGCUUGUUUCGAUCACGUCCGUUUUAAAUAAAUUCAAAUAGUUAUUAUUUUAUGCAAAAUAAUUAGAAAACAAUUUGCAUCGUUUUUAAUGAUAUCAGUUUCUAUUAUUUUAUUAGUGAUGCUAAUAACAAAUUAGCAAUACAUGGAUUAUUUAUCAAUAUAAAUUUAUAGUUUUUUAAAGUGAUGCAAACUAAUAUAGAUUUGUAUCAAUUUAUUAAAUUAACGCAAAAUUAUUAAAUAAUAACAUUAGAUAUUAGAAAAUAAUUCAGUGAUUGAAAAUAAUAGUGAAAAUAUCAGUUAAGAUGUGUAACGCAAUUCCUUGAUCCUUCUUUCUCCGGAUCACCUCAGUUUCAAUUCCAACUUCCAAGUUAACUGGUGAGGAGGUGGCUUCAUUACAACAUAAAUUGUAUGUGUUCACUUUUCAUGUUUAACAGAGAAGUAAGUUUAUUAUCACAUUCCAAAUAAUAAAAGACAAUGUCAACGAAAGUAUAUAUAUCCCCCACAGCUUUGUUCUCUUUUCGCCGAAACAGCGUGCAAUAACAAACUCUAGUAGAACAACUUUUCUCCCAGUAUGAUUGAUAAGAGAACCCACAUUAUCUCUAUUGCCAUAAUGGAAAGAACAAAGAGAGAGUACUGAGAUGACAAUUCUAUGAUAUUCUUGCACAAAAAUUUUAAAACUUGUAAUCUGGGUUGUCACGAAGGCCAAGUUUUGACAGUGAAAGGCAGUAAGAGUCCCAGUCCGUUCGUCUCAUGUACUUCAACAGUUUCUUCCGUCUUUGCACCAUUGCUAUAAGUCCCUUUCGCGAAUGCUUGUCCUAACGUUAUAAGGAUGCGAGAUCAGGUUACAGUAGGAUACCGCACCUGCUAGCUUCAGAUAAACAAAACAACAACAAAAUUAAAGAUUGAAAGAUUACCUUUUUAUGUAGAACAGAGGACAGAUGCUUGAUCUUAGUGGUCAGUUGCGCCACUACAAGGAAAAACCAUAAAGAUAAUUAAACCAGCAAUUUGUUGACCGUUUGUUCUCAAAAACAACAACGGCAAUGAAACCGAUUAUUAGCUGCUAAAGCCACCAUUAAGCAUAAGAGAUAUAAUCUCUCAGUUACCUUGAACACGUGCAGAACCACAAUCUGAUUCUGACAUCUUGAACUCUUCCCGGACCUUUGCAAGUUCAAUUUUCAUCUUCUCCGCAGAAGACAUGUUAUCCGGGUGAAAAUACUGCAGUUGAUUUUACAAAACAUGCAUUAACAUAAUCAAUGCCAAAAUUCUUAUAAUGGUUUGCAAAAGCUAUAGAGUAAUUAAGAAUCAAGAAGGGAAAGACUUACAGUUUCAACUAGGUGGUCUUUCGGAGGCUCGAGCAUAUACUUAGGGGUGCCAUUUAAAACUCCCCAAAUAUCGAGUUUCUGAACUGCAAGCAAAUUAACCUUCCAAUUAAAAUCACAACAAGGAAGAACAAAUCAAAACCAAGACGAACUCAGUAAGAAGCUCAUUCCCUAAAGCAUAAAGACCAACACUUUAAUUUUCUAACAUAUAUAAAGCUACUCGAUCACACCAGAGUGUUUAAGAUUGUGACAAAACAUUCAAAUAUAUAAAUACACGCACACACGCACAAAGAAAGAGUAAUGAGAGGGACCAGGAACAUACAGGAAAUAGAUUUCUGAGCUUCCGCGGCCUUGGCUUUUUGAAUCUCAGACCUCAACUCUUUGACGAUGGAGUGAUCUGCUGUACUCGUUCUCUGUGCAUGUUCCUCUUCCACCGCCCUAAGCUUAACAAGCCUCUGAUUCAGCUCUUGUAGGGAGAACCAACCUUGAUCUUUUUUUCCUUGUGGUCUAUACAAUCUAAGUUUCUCUCCCAAUUCAAAAGGAUCAUAACUCUUGAAAAACUCUGAUUUCAUCUCCUCUGUCUCAUUCCGUUGUUCUAAUUCUUCAGCAAAAACUGAAUAUGGCAAUCCUUCUCCUCCGCCGGUUACAUUUGAACGGAGAUUUUCACUGAAUUUCGUCUUGAUAGUGUUCUGUAACCCAGAUAAAUUGGCCCAUUUGCCUUCUGUGUUGGCUUGUGGUCUCAUCUGCCUUAAGUUCUCCUUUAUGUUGGCUAAUCCGCUCGCAAAUGGCGUACCCUCGAUUUUACGAGUCCCAUACGAAUCUCCAGAUUUUGACAGCACAUUCUGUUUGUAAGCAUCCUGCCAAUCCCUCGGCGGCGGAGCUGCUGCUCUGCUUCGGAACUCGUUGAGAUUCCUCCUGAUAUCCUGAAUUCGGCCGCCGAUUUGGUUACCGGAGAGCGAAGGCGAUGAUGGAUUUUGAGCUUUGGCAUCGAAUCUGAGGAACUGUCUCCUCCCGUCCUGAGGCUGACUCUGUUUCAGGCUGCUUUUGAUACCACUGAAGUAGGAAGGGAUCUUAACAUCCGACGGCGGUGAAGAUGGAGAAGACGGUGACUGAGGGUGGUGUAAGCUAGAUUCGUUCCCGUCUUGGGGAGAUGAGGAGGAGGAGGAGGUUGAGAAAAGGUGAAUGAGAGAUGGACUUGAAUGUAACCUCUGUUUAGGUCUGGCGAGAUGAAGCGCCAUUGAAACCGAUCUAUGGCAGCUACAGAAGCUUUUUUUAGGGUUUUGGGUUGGUACCGAACGUCAGCAGAGAGGGUGAACGAACAUGAAGCGGAGCCGUUCCGAGUCAAAUGAUGGACUCAAUCCGGUUAUCUAUAAACCGGAAAUUGAUUCAUCUGGCGAUUAAGUAAACCGGUAAAGAAGAGGGGACGGGCUCUCGGGGGUUUAUUUAUUUAUUUGCUGCUUUCGGUAAAAGUGAAAGUCAAAGUGGGAACUAAACUAAGUAUCAUCAUCAUUACUGGCUGGCUCUGAGAUGAGUAAAUCUUACGUUGGUGAGGUCAGAAGGUUCGAUUCGCCAGUUCUUGUUGAUCUGAGGCACUUUAAUAUUUUAACGAAGAUCAAACAUUAUAUGGUGUGACAUAUAUUUAGGUGAAGAAAUUAAUAAAAGGUAGUAUAGUAUUUGACAGUCUAUGUAGCAUUUUAUUCUUAAAAUUUUAAUGUUACAUCCGUAUCAAUAACCAAACGAGGUGGAAUUUGGAUAACUUCAAGUAAAAUAGCAGAUGAUAAGAUAGUUUUAAGAAUUUAUGUUACCGUAAAAGUAAAAAGAACGAAUACAUAGACCCAUGUUAACUUAACAGAGACAUUGUUGAUGUAAUGCACGAAUACAUCAAUGUCAUAAUGACACGUGUUCUUUACACUUUGGUGUUCAAACAAAAACGACUUGCAAGAUUGCAACUUAAUACGUGUCUCUCAACACCAAGAAAUCCAAACGCUACUAGUAUUAUUUUGUAUGCUUCUAUAGGACUUUAAGACCGUGCCUUGCUUUCCCAUUUUAACUUUGCAGCUUUGCAAAUUCAAAUCCGAUCAUAUAUUAUUACCCAACAUACAGUAGUUAAUUACGUAUUAUUCUUCAUAAAAGAGUUUCUUUUAAAUAAGACUGCUUCCGUUAUUUACCAAAGUAGAAAGUUUCCUUAUUACCGUAGCAUAAUUGCAUAAACGAUGGACAGACUUAGAUAUUUCCAUACUCGAAAGUAAGGAAGAUAUUGAGUAGCCAUGAAUGCAGAGGGUAAGAAAGAAUACUACAUAACAUAUAUACAAGUUACUAAUUUCAGAACUUCGAAUAGAGAGAGAGGGAGAAUAUGUUGUAGUAGUUGUUUCUUUUACAGCUAGCUAGGUUCUUCUAUUUACCUUAGCAUGACAUAUUUCUUUUUAUUCAACUCAUGUUUUCCAUCCAUCAUCUUAAACUAGUAAGAAAUUAAAGAAUUCUGGCAAUUUCCAAACACUUUGAUUCUCGUUCGUGUAAAAAAAAAAUAUCAUAUUUCUCAAUUCUCAUAAAAUUUAUAUAUAAUAUAUUUUUUUUUUUUUAAGAAGAAGAAGCAAUUGGCCACAAAUGGUUUAUGCCACGUAUGUUAUCAAGAGGGUCCUACACUUAUCAAGAAAGAGAGAGAGAGAGAGAAAAAAAAAGAAAAAGAAAAAAAAGAGAGUUUCUAUUUCGCGAUCUCCCAAUAAAUCUAAACUGUGCAAAGAAAUAAAAUAAAAAAAAAAAAAAACUCAAACAUAUAUAUGGAGCUAGAUUAGAUAUAUAAAUCCACCCCAUUCAUUACCUUUGCCACAGAGAUUUCUUCCUCUCUACUUUUUCGCCACUUUCUCUCCCAUCUCUCUCUCUCUCUCUCUCUCUCU